UGGACGCAGACGUGAGAAACGCUGGGUGGCAUUAUUUACGUGUAUUGCAAUACGUGCCGUACACCUAGAAGUAGUCUACACUGAACGAAUUCUCCCGCCAUAGAUUGAAUGAUUUGUAAUACACAUGGCUGUAAAUAUUCCUGUUCCUUAUUUUGAAUGACUAUUAAGGAAUAUGAUGCAGCCACCGACUGCUGAACAAAAAUCAUCCAAUUCUGAAACAACUUUUGGUAUAUUUCCGUAUGACAAUAAGCGGACAGUUGAAUUAAGAAAACACAAAUGAAUAACAUGCAAUAAUUGACGUAUUUUAUGUUCUACCAUGCCCCUGAUCAAAAAUCAUUCAACUAUCGUCUUAAAAAUAUCAUACGGAAAACUAACGUUCCUAAACGUCAAAUUAUUAUUGGAAUGUUUACAUACAAUAUGGUGGCAACAGCGUGGUGUUUCAAGUUUUACCUCGUCGAUUUCACAGUGUACCAAAAAUCACAAAUCGUGCAUCCCUAGGCCAUCACUUCGAAUUCUGGAGUCACAUCAGCAGCCGCUUCAUGCAGGUGCCAAUGCGUGCGACUGGCCUCGUGAAAUGAGAUCAAUAUUUUUUUGAAUAAUGUGAAUUAGUGAGGUUGUAAUUAACAGUAAAAUAUAAUGUUUAUAAAACUA